UAAAUCUCUCCACUUUGCUUAAAACAACAAAAAGAAUCACAGCUACUGCUUUAGUGAAGAAACAAGACUAGAAACAUAUAUUAAUAUUUCCAAAGAAUAAAGAUAGUGUUUGGAUCUACAAAACCAAACAGCAGAUUUGGCUAAACAAUUUCAUUCAAAAAACCCAAAGUUACUGAGAAUUGAUGACUGUUUUUAAUCUAUUAAAGCCUCAUAGUUUCCGUCAUCCUUCAGGUCCUGCAGUUCCAGCUCCUCAGGUGAACAUCAGGAGAUCUCUGUCAGACCUGCAGAAACAACACAAUGACUUCAAGCUGCACUGUGAUCUUUCACAGCUCUCCUCACAGCAUAUCUAUGUCACACUUCACUCUAAAGGAGCUGACAUUUCUGACAAACAGUAUGUUGAUCUUCCUGAAGCUCCAGCCUCACAUACAGUCAGUGUCAGCUUCUCUGUUCCUCAGUCCUACUGGAAGAGUGACCAGAGUUUCAGCUGCAAAGUCCAUCAAGGCUUUUCCAGUCAGUCUUUUGAGUCCAAAGCCAUCAGUGUUUCUGAUCCAAGAGUGGAAGUCAUUCAGAUCUCCAGUAGAGAGUCAGGAAAACAGAAACUCUUGUGUUCUGGAUCAGGCUUUAAUCCACAAAUUAAUUGGUUUUCAGACUCAGAGUCAAAAUCUGCAUCAAGCACAGACGUCAGCAUGGAUCCAAAUGGACGUGUGACUGUAAUCAGUCGACUGGAUGUUCUUCAGACAGAGUGGAAAACAGGGAAGACCUUCACCUGUGAAGUGUUUGACGGGUUUCUGGAAAAAAGCGCUAAAAAAAACAUCAGCCUGUGUUCAGUCUUUGGAUUCAAUCCUCCUUCCAUUCAUGUGGAGAUUCCCAGCUUCAAGACAGUGAUGAUGACCAACUCUGAUGUGAAAGCUACAUGCUUCAUCCACAAUGUUGAUGCUGAGCUGGUCUGGUUAAUGGACGGUAAACAACCAUCCACUGACAGAGUGAAUGAAUUCUCAAACAAAACCACAGUAAUCAGUGAACUGACAGUUCCAUCCAGCAGCUGGAAAAACCUGAAGCUUCUGAAAUGUAAAGUUCAGCAUCACUGCUUUUCUGCUGAGAAGACUGUAGAGGUUUCAGGUGAGAAGAUCAACUAUUAUCAGUAUUGUUUAACCUAA